rnacentral:sRNA from 1 species
UAAUAAACACGAUAAAUUACUAAAUUUGUUAUAAAAUUAAAAUUAAUAAAAUAAUAAGAUAAUAAUUUUUUGAAAUCCUUGUGUAAAAAUAUGAUCCUAAUAAUAUCAGUAAUUAAUUAUCAUAAUUCUUAAGCAUACAUUUUAAAAUAAUCUAGUAUAAUAUGAAUCUAGUGUUAUUUGUCUUUUCGUACGGAUCUCGUUGAAGAUUAUCUGUAAUUUUCUAUAUUGCAUCAAAACUCCUGGUGUCGUUUUCUCGAUCUGCCUCCAAAAGUUUUGAAGAGUUUUAUACUUAAUAAUUACUUUUUUACAUGUCACUAUUUCCAAAGGUUCCACAUUAUCUUUGAACAUUCAUUCUAUUUCGAUAAUCAAGGGUGUAAAUGGAUACCUAGAUUUGUUAAGAUGAAAGAGUCGAAUUGUGGGUUCAACUUUAUUCCUCAAGAAAUUCACCAUUUGCUUUUAACAAAAUUUCAACCCAAUUUUAUUGGGGCCCACCAUAAAGCUGAAAAUUUACACUUUUUAGCUGAAAAUUGUCCAACCUCAAAUUAGGAGAAGAACAAAUUGAACGUGAUAAAAAUUUAUAAUAUAUUUCUAUCUCUAUUACAUUUAAAUUAAUUAAUUUGUUUAGAGAAUCUAGAAAAUUCAAAUACUAAACUAAUUCAGUUCAAUCUUUGA